AAGCUGCACACCCCUUUUUUGCUUUUUUCACAGGAAGACAGCUGGCCCAGUGACCCUCAGAAGUGGAUUGCAGAAGUGGGGGUACCUCCCAGGUUCUCCAGGUUUGUCUUCAGAGUGUUGUAGGCGGCCGUUCGGGACUUCAGGUCCAUCUCGAUCUGCGCCAGUUGCUGUUUUGGGAAAGCAAAAGCUCCAGGUGACCCUGAGCAUUGAAGGAGUUGGCUGAACUUUUUGAAAUGGCCACAACAGCUCAUGGUGCUUUCAAGAAAAAUAACUGCCCUGCCCAUUUGCUGGGAUGGCUUCUGUUUACCAGCAUUUGGCCCUUCCAGGGAGCCCCUGUGUGGCACCCAGGCGCCAAGCCAUGAUGGAUUUUCUAGGAUGACUCAGUGAGCCCAACCUUUCCUGAUUUCAAGCCCAUCCUGAACGGUCGGGACAUCCCACGCCCACACCUACCCUCUCAGGCUCUGCUGGAGGGCAGCUCAGGCUGACCCCCAAUCGUUGCUUCCAGGGGUACCCGACAUGGCCUGGCCCUCUCAAAUGCCCAUGUCUCCUGGCUCGGCUGUGCCGAUCUCCCUCUCAUGGGUUGGCAGGGGCAGGGAGGUGCAGUGGACAGAAACAAGACAGGCCUGGGCUCAAGCCACGCCCUCCUGCUUUCUGGCCGACUGGCUCAGGUUUCCCCAUUUGUUCCACAGCGGGGAUAAUGCCAGUGCUGAGAGCCGACUGUGCCAGGCUCCUUCACAUUCCCUCCUCGCAGCCCCACGUCGUGACACCCCACCAGCUUUGACAACCAGCCACGGCAGGAGCAUUUACACCACGGUCAUCCACAAAUGCUACAGGCCAGCACACGGCUGCUGACGGGAGAAUCUCAAGAGUCAACAGAUGAAGAAAAUGGGUGCUCCAUAGAAUGCCAACAGCUUUAGUCUAAAUAUACACAUUUUUAUACAUGGAAGAAUCCAUUGUCAACUUUUAAACAUUGGUUACCUUUUGGGAGAAUAAAGGGAAUGGGGGCGAUG
rnacentral:lncRNA from 1 species